rnacentral:rRNA from 1 species
CAGGACGAACGCUGGCGGCGUGCUUAACACAUGCAAGUCGAACGGAGAUUCAGCAAUGGAUCUUAGUGGCGAACGGGUGAGUAACGCGUAGGCAAUCUGCCUCUAGAUGGGGACAACAUCCCGAAAGGGGUGCUAAUACCGAAUGUUGUACCGUUUCCGCAUGGAGAUGAUACUAAAGGUGGCCUCUGAAUAUGCUACCGCUAGAAGAUGAGCCUGCGUCUGAUUAGCUAGUUGGAGGGGUAACGGCCCACCAAGGCUUCGAUCAGUAGCCGGUCUGAGAGGAUGAACGGCCACACUGGGACUGAGACACGGCCCAGACUCCUACGGGAGGCAGCAGUGGGGAAUCUUCCGCAAUGGACGAAAGUCUGACGGAGCAACGCCGCGUGAGUGAAGAAGGUUUUCGGAUCGUAAAGCUCUUUCGUUAGGGACGAACGUGCUCUUUGUGAAUAAUGAGGAGUAAUGACGGUACCUAAAUAAGAAGCCACGGCUAACUACGUGCCAGCCGCGGC